AAAGGGGCCAAUAUGGGACAAAGGGGUCCGGAUAUGAGGUAACGGGGGUGUUUUGGGGUAAAAAAGGCCCAAUAUGGGACAAUGGGGGCCCAAUAUGGGAUUAUGGGGUCCUGAUAAAAGGUAACAGGGGUGUUUUGGGGUAAAAAGGGCCCAAUAUGGGACAAAGGCGGCCCAAUACGGGACAAUGGGGUCCUGAUAUGAAGUAACGGGGCCGUUUUGGGGUAAAAAUGGCCUAAUAUGGGACAAUGGGGGCCCAGUAGGGGAUUAUGGGGUCCUGAUAUGAGGUAGUGGGGCCGUUUUGGGGUAAAAAGGGCCCAAUAUGGGACAAUGGGGGCCCAAUAUGGGAUUAUGGGGUCCUGAUAAAAGGUAACAGGGGUGUUUUGGGGUAAAAAGGGCCCAAUAUGGGACAAAGGCGUCCUGAUACAAGGUAAUGGGGCUGUUUUGGGGUAAAAAGGGCCCAAUAUGGGACAAUGGGGGCCCAAUAUGGGAUUAUGGGGUCCUGAUAUGAGGUAAUGGGGGUGUUUUGGGGUAAAAAGGGCCCAGUCUGGGACAAUGGGGUCUUGAUAGGAGGUAACUGGGUUGUUUUGGGGUAAAAAGGCCCAAUAUGGGACUAUGGGAUCCUGAUAUGAGGUAAAGGAGUUGUUUUGGGGUAAAAAAAAGAGCUCAAUAUGGGAUUAUGGGGUCCUGAUACGAGGUAACGGGGCUGUUUUGGGGUAAAAAGGGCCCAAUAUGGGAUUAUGGGAUGCCGAUAUGAGGUAAUGGGGCUGUUUUGGGGUAAAAGGGGCCCAAUCUGGGAUAACGGGGUCCUGUUAGGGGAUAAUGGGGCCGUUUUGGGGUAUGGGACAAUGGGGUCCGAAUAUGAGGUGACGGGGGUAUUUUGGGGUAAAAAGGGCCCAAUAUGGGACAAUGGGUUCCGGAUAUUGGCGAUAAUGGGGAUAUUUUGGGAGGUAACGGGGCCAUUUUGGGGUAAAAAGAGCC